GGAAUUUUGGACAAUGGGCGCAAGCCUGAUCCAGCCAUGCCGCGUGAGUGAAGAAGGCCUUCGGGUUGUAAAGCUCUUUCGGCUGGGAAGAAAUCGCACUCUCUAAUACGGGGUGUGGAUGACGGUACCAGCAUAAGAAGCACCGGCUAACUACGUGCCAGCAGCCGCGGUAAUACGUAGGGUGCGAGCGUUAUUCGGAAUUACUGGGCGUAAAGCGUGCGCAGGCGGUUGUGUAAGACAGACGUGAAAUCCCCGGGCUCCACCUGGGAACUGCGGUUGUGACUGCACGGCUAGAGUACGGCAGAGGGGGGUGGAAUUCCACGUGUAGCAGUGAAAUGCGUAGAGAUGUGGAGGAACACCGAUGGCGAAGGCAGCCCCCUGGGCCAGUACUGACGCUCAGGUGCGAAAGCGUGGGGAGCAAACA
rnacentral:rRNA from 1 species